GUGUGGACAUAUGAAUCUGACAGAAAACUGCUGAUGAUCUACACUAGAUUUUGUGCAGCACGCGGACCCAAAUGUCAAUGGAAUUCUCUCUCUGGUCUUCCAGCUGCACCACCUACAUGUCGUAGAAGGAUGGCAUAUUUAAAUAAAAACAUAAAUAUAAGAAAAGCUGUUGUCCGAAUCUGUAGCCUUCUCAGAUAGGAAAGGAGAUCGAAAGAGAGGGAAUCCCAUUCUCAUAUGUCAAAUUCUAGUCAUGAGAACUGUGUGGAUUCAGAUUCUGAGAUAUUCAAUUGGGAUUAUUUUGAAGAUCCAGAAAUAAAAAAUGCACUUGAUGAAGUCCUUGAAUUCAUCCGAGUAGAAAACGUGAACCAGACCAGGAAAGCUGAGCCUAAUAAUGCAAAGUGCAACAAUGAUAAUAAUGCCAACGAGGAAAUUCCAAGUGGGCAGAAAGAGCAGGUUAUGCAAGGUGUUACCAGUACAAGCACUGCAGUUCCAGAAGCUGGAUCACGUGAGCUUGCAGAAUUGCCUAGACAAUCAAAUGCACCCCAUGCUAGUAACAGCGUGGACGGUCCCUGUGCAUCUGAUGAAAACAUCAUUAAGGUCAACAAAGAUGAAACUACUAGAAGAUAUGGAUGCAAAUCUUUAGCAGUUGCCAAUGCGAUAGAGCUUCUGAAGUUGGUUUUUCUCAGCACAUCAUCAGGAUCAGAAGUACAGGCUUCAUUAGCUACAACCCUCCAGCUGUAUUCACAGAGCGAAAUUGUGGCUGCCUUUUCCUUUCUUAGUGAGAAGAAGUUCACGGUUAGUGGACAUGGAACAAAGCCAUACACCCUUUCUAGAAAAUUCUUCUUCAAGGCUUCUCAUUCACCCUUCCCAUUUGGUUCUGGAAAAAAGGCUUCUGAAUUUUCCAACUGGCUUAUAGGGCAGCAAAGGAACACUGCAGACAAUAGAAUUUAUUUGUAUCCAGAUGUAGAAUGUGGAGAAAUUGUUUAUCUCUUUUCGCUGGUUUCGUCUGGAGGGUUGUUCAUUUCACCUUCCUUGCCAAGCGAAGGAGUUGGUGAUGCUGAUGGGUCUAAUAGUUCCAGCCCUUUGGUUGAAGAUACCAGUGGACUAAAUGAUGGUACUCACAAACGCAAGGCUGAUACGGUGGAACAGGAAAGCAGUGCGGCUAAGAAAAACAAACUUUGCUACCGCCGUGAGAAAGGUUUCCCUGGUAUCCAAGUUGCUCUGAAUCAGGACAGAAUUCAAACAAACCAUCUCACGCAGGAGUUACAUGAUAAAGAGUGCCUUAUUUUUAGUUUAGCCCAGGAAAUGAGCAUGAGGGAUGUUGAUUCACAGGUUGAAAGCCCCGACACGUCACUGUAUUUAAACAACUCCAGUUCAUGUCGACAUAUGCUGUCUGAAUCUCAUUUGGAAAGCUCUUAUAAUGGAUGGCCUUGGGAUGCUAUGAAAAUAUAUGCAGACCAGUUACCAUCAUUAUCUUGUAAUCAAAAUGAAUUGUCCAUAUUGUCUUCUGAUCUGUUCAGAAGCGCAUUUUAUGUUAUUUAUCAAGGUGGCGAAGGAGGAGUUAAUUUGAGAGAAUUGUCACAGAAACUGCAUCCAUUAGGUACUUGCUGUUCUCAUGAAUAA
rnacentral:rRNA from 1 species